GGUCCUUGGGUGUGAGAUCCUGGCCAUGUGACUUCUCUGUGCCUCUGUUUUCUCAUCCCUAAAAUGGGAGCAUCAAUUUUUUUAUGGCUAAAGAUGAAGUGAUACUGUCCAUAAAAUAGCACAGUGCCUGGUACAAUAUAAUUAGUCCAUUUAUUACCACUGUUGUUGUUGCCUAAUUCUUAUUUGUGCAUUUUCAGAUGUCUUUUCUCAAAGUUGAGGACUUCUUCAAUGAAAAAGACUGUCUCUACCAGCAUUUUCCUCCCCUGGGUCAUCUUGGAGGUCUGCAUCUAGGCUGUGAUUCUGCGGGGCUCUGCUGGAUCAGCUGGCUUGAUUCCAGGCCCAGGUCUGUUGUAUGUAUCUCCUCAUCCUGGGACCAUUGGCUACGCAAGGUUUGAUCUUCUCACGGUCGAUGGCAGAAGUUCAAGAGAUCAAGCAGAGUCACAGAGGCACAUUUAAAGCCUCUGCUUCCAUUGCAUCUACUCACACUACUGGCCAUAGCAGGUCACAUGACCAAGACUGACAACCACGGGUCAGAAAGAAUACUCUACCCACAGUGAGAAAAUGUCAAAGAUCUUCACCAGCUGGGUUCCGAUGCCUUUGUUCAAUAAAGGUGGUUCACAUAGGCUAGCUCUAUUCCUACUGCGAGGAGAGGCGUAUGACCCAGACCUGGCCAAUCAAAACAUCCUUGCUCAAGGUGGACCAAUCAGAGCCAGUGAGAAUCCUGGGACUUGUACUACGACUACCGGAAAUGAGAACUUUCUUGAUUGGAAUUCGUUAAAGAACGAGAUAUAAACCUGCUUAUGGUUAUCUUCCCUCUCCAUGGGAAGAGUACUCUCGAAGGAAGACAGGACAGAGAAAGACAGCCAAGAAGUGGAGGAAGACAGAUUCCUGAUGAGAUCACUUGAAUUCUUGAGUCUAAUUAUGCCUGAAGUUUUACUCAUCAAUUAGGCAAGCUAAUCAAUUUUAAUUUUUUGCUUAAGUCCGUUUUGUUGGCCACUUGCCUCCAAAAGAGUCUUAAACCCUUGUGUUUUAUAACUUUCAGUAAAGUCUCAUCUGUAGGAGAGCAUGUGCAACAGCAGCAUUACCCGUGUCUACAAUAAUAGAUCAGCCCUAUUUUCUCUCGUGUUCUCAGUGGUCACCAUUGUAUAAUGGACUGUCUUCAGCCUCAGGCCACGGGCCCACUUCUCUGCCAGGAGGAGACGACCAUUCAGGCUGACCCGGCACACAUUCUGCGACCAGAAGGGAAAAAGGGUCUUCAGAAUAGAAGUUUUGCUGCAGCAGCUUAAACUAUCCCAGGCCUUUUUGGUCUGAUCUUGUGCUAAUUUGGCAUCAUUAACUGCCAGUCUGGAGUUUGGAUGGGAACAACCACAAGUGGCCCCUCAGUGUCUCUUGGGAUUUCCAAGAGAAUGAAAAUGUCACAUGGUUGAUGCCUUUCCAGCUCUGUGUGGAUAAGUACAAAGAGCUGCUUCCAACCAUCUCUUCAUUUCCUCCAGUCCUUCGGUCCCCAUCAGUGUCUCUGUCCCCCGGGAGACUGAAAACUCCGAGAGGUCAAAGAUCACACUUGUUUUGUGCACACCUUGUCUCCAGUACCCGGCACAAUGCUUUCUACACAAAACCUAAAGCUGCAUCAGAGUGCUUUUUAAGAUGAUACUUCAGACACCCACCAACAAUCAAUAAGAGACAGCAUGAGAGGCAAGACCUAUUUAUUAUUCUUUUUGUGCCCUUUUUUUGUGCCUUCCAUAAGCAAUACUGUAUACCAGGAAAGAAGAACCUUCUCAGAGAGAGAGAGAGACAACAAACUUUUUAACUUCUUCAAAAUCUGCCACAGAAGACAAAGUCAUCCCCAUGGGAUUAUCACAGGGCCAUGAGCCACCGGCCAUACUAAGACACGGAUUCUUAGAAUCCUUCCAAAAACAGCAAAAGGAAAAUUGCAAAACCCCAAGUCUGGCCUGCCUUGUGGCACCGUGUUGGCAACUAGCAUGAUAUUAAAAGUGUCCUGAUGCUCUUCUGGGUACAAAAGCUCAGCUUUGCUUCAUGGUACCAAGUAGUUCUGAGGCUCAGAUGUGUAUUUUUCUGUCUCUAAGUUGAAGCAGUAAGAAAAAGAAAGCAAGCUGGUAGCAGAGAUUAGGGCGGAAGCUAGGGUACGUGGACCGAGUCCAGGGAGGGGCUGAGGGUGGCAGUAAUACUAACAAUAAAAACGUACCCCUGUUUUCUAUCUGCCACACCUUCUGGUUAGGUGAGCGUUGUGGGUUUUCUCAUUGCCUCCACACAAGCAACCCUCUGUCACAGGCACUAUUUUUCUGCCUCCUCCAGAUGAAAAGCCUUGGGGCUCAGGGAAACGGGACAUGACUUGCUUCUGGUCCCACAAUUCACAAGCCAGGAAGCUAUGGGAUGUGAACCCAGAUACGUCUGCCUCAAGAUACCGUAUUCUUGAAACUGUGCGAUCUGGACCAGCAGAGCCACUCUUUCAGCGCGGAGAGAUGGUGACCUGGAGUUUGAAGCACCUCUUAGGGCAAAGAUUUCUUCAUCUUUGUGUUUUCCUAUUGCAGAGCACAAUGGCCGGCACACAAUCCAUUCACAUUUGGUUGAACUGAUAUUUGGUACAACUGAGGCUUUCAAAUUUAGCAGUAAAUUCUGUUAGCAGAACGUUGUUGCUUCUUCUAAAUCUUCUGUUGCUUGCGUCCUGGAGCUGUGAUGGGUAUUGUCGCAGUGGCCCUGUCGUUUGUACGAUUGGCUCAUGUGUUCCACAUGUAUUUAUUUGCACUUACUGUGUGUUAGGCACUAUAUAGCUGGACAGCAGUGAACAAGACAGACCCAAUCUCUCUGUUACCGUGAUAAUGGUAACAGAAGACGGAAUUAAGAACAGGUGCUCCAGAAGUACUUAAGGAGGGGUUUCUCAGCCAGAUCUGGGGCUCACUCUGUUGAAGGGGGCAUAGUGAUGUCUGACACAUCAAGUGCUAGCCACGUACCAGGUACAGAUCUUAGAAUGUUACAUGGGUCGCCUUUUAAAAGCCUCUCAUCCCUUGUCAAUUCAUGGAGCGAACCUUUCGCCACCAGUGUAUGGGCAAGAGAAUUCAAACCCAGAACGUUAAGUAGCUUGCCCAAGGUCAUUGCAGUUAAGUGGCAGAGCUGGAGGCAAAGCCAGGCUGUGACUUUAUUUCAACCCGUCCUAAUCUGCUGCUCCGAUACGUGUCCCAGUGACACCUGGAAAAUGAGUUGGGGGUAGCUUGGAAAAAAUAGGCAGAGAAGUUGUUUCAGGUGACAGGAGGCGGCAGCUGUGAAGCCCAGACUGGACAAUGCAUCAGGUUCCGGGAGCUGGGAGCCGUCAGAACUGUGGGCGGUAGGGGGGAUGUGAGACCCGAGGGGCGUGCUGGGCAGGAGUCCCAUCUGAAAGGCUCUGUAAAACACCUCAUGGGUGUUUAUCUUCUAACCCGCAGGCACUGGGGAGCCAUCAGAGGGUUUCAUCAGGGGAGUGAUGUGAUCAGAUUUAUCCUCUAAAACAUUCGCUCUGGCUAGAGCACUUGGAUGGCUCAGGCAGUUAAGCAGCCACAUCCUAAUCUCGGCUCAGGUCAUGAUCUCCUGGUUGGUGAGAUCAAGCCCCACGUUGGGCUCUAUGCUGAUGGUGCUGAGCCUGCUGGGGAUUCUCUUUCAUUUUCUCAGAAUAAAUAAAUAAACUUUAAAUGUUCA